rnacentral:rRNA from 2 species
ACUCCUACGGGAGGCAGCAGUGGGGAAUUUUGGACAAUGGGGGCAACCCUGAUCCAGCAAUGCCGCGUGUGUGAAGAAGGCCUUCGGGUUGUAAAGCACUUUUGUCCGGAAAGAAAACGCCGUGGUUAAUACCCGUGGCGGAUGACGGUACCGGAAGAAUAAGCACCGGCUAACUACGUGCCAGCAGCCGCGGUAAU